rnacentral:rRNA from 1 species
CGAACGCUGGCGGCAUGCCUAAUACAUGCAAGUCGAACGCUUUUGUUUCACCGGGUGCUUGCGCCCACCGAGACAAAAGAGUGGCGGACGGGUGAGUAACACGUGGGUAACCUGCCCAUAAGAGGGGGAUAACAUCCGGAAACGGAUGCUAAUACCGCAUAUUUCCAAUUGUCUCCUGACAGAUGGAAAAAAAGUGGCUUCGGCUACCGCUUAUGGAUGGACCCGCGGCGUAUUAGCUAGUUGGUGAGGUAAUGGCUCACCAAGGCGAUGAUACGUAGCCGACCUGAGAGGGUGAUCGGCCACACUGGGACUGAGACACGGCCCAGACUCCUACGGGAGGCAGCAGUAGGGAAUCUUCCGCAAUGGACGAAAGUCUGACGGAGCAAUGCCGCGUGAGUGAAGAAGGUUUUCGGAUCGUAAAACUCUGUUGUUAGAGAAGAACAAGGAUGAGAGUAACUGCUCAUCCCCUGACGGUAUCUAACCAGAAAGCCACGGCUAACU